rnacentral:rRNA from 1 species
GACAGAGGGUGCAAACGUUGCUCGGAAUUACUGGGCGUAAAGCGCGUGUAGGCGGAUUGGUGUGUCGGAUGUGAAAUCCCCAGGCUCAACCUGGGAACUGCACCCGAAACUACCAGUCUCGAGUAGUGGAGAGGGAAGUGGAAUUCCUGGUGUAGAGGUGAAAUUCGUAGAUAUCAGGAGGAACACCAGUGGCGAAGGCGGCUUCCUGGACACUAACUGACGCUGAGACGCGAAAGCGUGGGGAGCAAAC